rnacentral:lncRNA from 1 species
UCGCCAUGGAGACGCAGAAGCCACGGUUGGAGAAAAAGAUGUCAGAAAGAGAGCUAACUUAGCAGUUAGCUAGUUUAAAGUUUCUGUGUUAGAAAAACUCGGUGUUUUUUGUGUUUAUUAAGUGAACUGAGGCGUCGGGCAGUGUCUGUUUACCUAUUUAACUGGUUCUGAGCUGUAUUUGCCCUCUAACGUCGAGCUUUCUACUCUAAACUUGGACAUUUCCACUGGGCUAGCUGGCUAAGUUAGCUAGCUAACGCUAACUAGCGCUAACCAGCUUUAUGGAGCUGUAGGGAGUGUUAAAUGCCAUACAGAGGACAGUUGGAGCAAGAGCUGACAGAUUCAUUUCACUCCCAGCGGAAAUAACACAGCUGGACGGACGGAGAACUUGAACCUGCUGCUGUCAGCUGAGAGAGCUGCUGGUUAAGGUGGUGCGGAACUGAGAGAGCUGCUGGUUAAGGUGGUGCCGGACUGGGCGCUGCUGGUUAAGGUGGUGCGGAGCUGAGACAGGUGCUAGUUAAGGUCGUGCGGAGAUGGGCUGCUGCUGAGAGCUGAUUGUCUGAGCGCGCUGCACUGACUGAGGAUGCUGCGAGUGAUUAAAGCUACCAUCAGGCUCCCAAUAAAAGUGCAGGCCCUCAUGAUCAGCCACAGUGUUUAUUUUUAUCACUUCUUUCUUUUAAUGAUCUCCGCCCGGUUGCCUCUCUCGUCUCUUUUUUCACCCGAUCCUGAGCUCUUCUGCUCCCUCCUGUAACCCACAGUGUCCUCUAGAAAACAUUAGGAGACACUGGGCAGCACAAAGCUCCUGUAGGACAACAACACCCCGAGAAACAACAGAGACAAGCACAGGACUAAACAAGAGGAUGCGGGAUGAACAUGGAGAGAGUAUAAUCACUGCUGAUCUGUGUAUUUGUGUGUAAACGUGUGAGGGAGUGUGUGUGAGUGUUUGAGCGUGUGUGUGGGGGGGAAUGCCGGCAGGCUCCGAGGGAGACAGGAGGGAUCCUUAUCUGGCCCUGAGCAGACGAAUGCUGUUUUUCUUAAUUUAUUUCCACCAGAUGGGGAGAUCAAGAGUGGCAUUUCCAUCAAGAGUGUGUGUUUAUGUAUGUGUGUGAAUGAGUGUGUACUGGACAGUGUUCAACAAGAAUGUGUGUGUGUGAAGAGUAUGGUGAGAGAGCAUUAGACAGGGAGAGAGACUGGGAGGGGGGCCAGGGGUUGGGCAGUGUCCAGCAACAGGGUCAUGUGCCCACCCACUGGAAAUUCAAGGGGAAAUUGAUUGUGCUUUUUAUGGAUGAUUAGCCAUUUUACAUCACAGUGAACAAAGACUGAUAAGCACAAAUAUUAAAUGUGUUAAAUCAAGACUAAAGCAGUGGUUAGUUGACUAUUUUCU